rnacentral:rRNA from 1 species
UGCCAGUAGUCAUAUGCUUGUCUCAAAGAUUAAGCCAUGCAUGUCUCAGUACAAGCCAAAUUAAGGUGAAACCGCGAAAGGCUCAUUAUAUCAGUUAUGGUUCCUUAGAUCGUACCCACAUUUACUUGGAUAACUGUGGUAAUUCUAGAGCUAAUACAUGCAAACAGAGUUCCGACCAGAGAUGGAAGGAAUGCUUUUAUUAGAUCAAAACCAAUCGGUGUAAAUUUUAAUUUGCAUCGUUUAAUUUGGUGACUCUGAAUAACUUUAAGCUGAUCGCACGGUCUCGUACCGGCGACGCAUCUUUCAAAUGUCUGCCUUAUCAACUGUCGAUGGUAGGUUCUGCGCCUACCAUGGUUGUAACGGGUAACGGGGAAUCAGGGUUCGAUUCCGGAGAGGGAGCCUGAGAAACGGCUACCACAUCCAAGGAAGGCAGCAGGCGCGCAAAUUACCCACUCCCGGCACGGGGAGGUAGUGACGAAAAAUAACGAUACGGGACUCAUCCGAGGCCCCGUAAUCGGAAUGAGUACACUUUAAAUCCUUUAACAAGGAUCCAUUGGAGGGCAAGUCUGGU